rnacentral:tRNA from 1 species
GGGGCUGUGGCUCAGUGGUAGAGCGCUCACCUAGCCAUGUGUGAGGCACUGGGUUCGAUCCUCAGCACCA